GACCAAAGGUCCCCUCGGGGUGUCCCGCGUGUCCCCAGUCCCGCGGCGCCCGCGCUCGGGGACAGAUCCGGGUCCCUUCGGGUGUCCCCAACGCCGCCACCCGCGCUCGGGGACAGUCCCGCGUGUCCCUCCCGCGCUCGGGGACAGGUCCUGGUGUCACCCCGCCCUCGGGGACAGGUCCUGGUGUCACCCCGGCCAUGGGGGCUCGGCGGCUCUGGGCGCUCUGCGCCUGCGUCCUGCUCGUCUGCUCAGGGAACGCAGCGGGGGCCGGCGAGUGGGAGACCUCGGGGGAUGGCCCAAACACGACCCCCGUGGCCACCACGGUGACAAACGACUGGGAGAUCUCGGGUGAUGACUCCCCCACCACCACGACCCCCGUGGC